rnacentral:rRNA from 1 species
UAGAUACCCUGGUAGUCCACGCGGUAAACGAUGGAUGCUCGUUGUCAGGCCUUCGGGUUUGGUGACCAAGCGAAAGCGUUAAGCAUCCCACCUGGGGAGUACGCCGGCAACGGUGAAACUCAAAGGAAUUGACGGGGGCCCGCACAAGCGGAGGAACAUGUGGUUUAAUUCGAUGAUACGCGAGGAACCUUACCCGGGCUUGAACUGCGGCGGAACGAUUCAGAGAUGAUGAGGUCCUUCGGGACUGCCG